rnacentral:rRNA from 1 species
AUUGAACGCUGGCGGCAGGCCUAACACAUGCAAGUCGAAUGGUAACAGGAAACAGCUUGCUGUUUCGCUGACGAGUGGCGGACGGGUGAGUAAUGUCUGGGAAACUGCCUGAUGGAGGGGGAUAACUACUGGAAACGGUAGCUAAUACCGCAUAACGUCGCAAGACCAAAGAGGGGGACCUUCGGGCCUCUUGCCAUCAGAUGUGCCAGAUGGGAUUAGCUAGUAGGUGGGGUAACGGCUCACCUAGGCGGCGAUCCCUAGCUGGUCUGAGAGGAUAACCAGCCACACUGGAACUGAGACACGGUCCAGACUCCUACGGGAGGCAGCAGUGGGGAACAUUGCACAAUGGGCGCAAGCCUGAUGCAGCCAUGCCGCGUGUAUGAAGAAGGCCUUCGGUUGUAAAGUAAC